rnacentral:misc_RNA from 1 species
CGGUGCUACUGCCUGCCGGUCGCCUGUGGCUGGCUGGCAGUUGUUGUUCCUGCAAAAUAGACAAAGAGAAGAAGAAGGAAAGGACAAGGGAAAAACGGAGGGGGUUGUGCCUUCCGAUCGCGGUGUUGCUGCUCGGAAAUGGCUUAUUUUCACCGGUGUCGCUGGCCUUGCAUUGUUGUUUCCUUUGCUGGUGGCAUUGCCUCGUGAAAAUGAG